GGCUGUCGUCAGCUCGUGUCGUGAGAUGUUGGGUUAAGUCCCGCAACGAGCGCAACCCUCGCCUUUAGUUGCCAUCACGUCUGGGUGGGCACUCUAAAGGAACUGCCGGUGACAAGCCGGAGGAAGGUGGGGAUGACGUCAAGUCCUCAUGGCCCUUAUGUCCUGGGCUACACACGUGCUACAAUGGCGGUGACAGUGGGAAGCCAGGUAGCGAUACCGAGCCGAUCUCAAAAAGCCGUCUCAGUUCGGAUUGCACUCUGCAACUCGAGUGCAUGAAGGUGGAAUCGCUAGUAAUCGCGGAUCAGCAUGCCGCGGUGAAUACGUUCCCGGGC
rnacentral:rRNA from 1 species